CAGCCGCCGCGGUAAUACGUAGGUGGCAAGCGUUAUCCGGAAUUAUUGGGCGUAAAGAGUGAGCAGGCGGUCGUUUAAGUCUGAAGUCAAAUGCUGUGGCUCAACCACAGUUCGCUUUGGAAACUGGACGACUAGAGUACGAGAGAAGUAAGCGGAAUUCCAUGUGUAGCGGUGAAAUGCGUAGAUAUAUGGAGGAACACCAGUGGCGAAGGCGGCUUACUAGAUCGAUACUGACGCUCAGUCACGAAAGCGUGGGUAGCAAAUAGGAUUAGAUACCCUAGUAGUCCACGCCGUAAACUAUGAGAACUAGGUGUUUGGGAUGACCAAGCGCCGAAGCUAACGCAUUAAGUUCUCCGCCUGGGGAGUACGGUCGCAAGACUGAAACUUAAAGGAAUUGACGGGAGCCCGCACAAGCAGUGGAGCAUGUGGUUUAAUUCGAAGAUACGCGAAGAACCUUACCAGGGCUUGACAUACCGUUUAACACUCUAGAGAUAGAGGAAUAUAUGACGGAUACAGGUGGUGCAUGGCC
rnacentral:rRNA from 1 species